rnacentral:rRNA from 1 species
CCUACGGGUGGCUGCAGUGGGGAAUAUUGCACAAUGGGGGAAACCCUGAUGCAGCGACGCCGCGUGAGUGAAGAAGUCUCUCUGUAUGUAAAGCUCUAUCAGCAGGGAAGAAAAUGACGGUACCUGCUUAAGAAGCCCCGGCUCACUACGUGCCAGCCGCCGCGGUCAUACGUAGGGGGCGAGCGUUAUCCGGAUUUACUGGGUGUAAAGGGAGCGUAGACGGCAGUACAAGUCUGGAGUGAAAUGCCGGGGCUUAACCCCGGAACUGCUUUGGAAACUGUGCAGCUAGAGUGCGGGAGAGGUAAGUGGAAUUCCUGGUGUAGCGGUAAAAUGCGUAGAUAUUAGGCAGAACACCAGUGGCGAAGGCGGCUUACUGGAGUGUAACUGACGUUCAGGCUCGAAAGCGUGGGGAGCGAACAGGAUUAGAUACCCCUGUAGUC